rnacentral:lncRNA from 1 species
AUUAGGGCUCUGGUGGCGGCGGUGGCGGACACUUGGGGUCUGGACGCAACGGCGGCGGGAGCAUGAACGCCCCUCCAGCCUUCGAGUCGUUCUUGCUCUUCGAGGGCGAGAAGAUCACCAUUAACAAGGACACCAAGGUACCCAAGGCCUGCUUAUUCACCAUCAACAAAGAAGACCACACACUGGGAAACAUCAUUAAAUCACAACUCCUAAAAGACCCGCAAGUGCUAUUUGCUGGCUACAAAGUCCCCCACCCCUUGGAGCACAAGAUCAUCAUCCGAGUGCAGACCACGCCGGACUACAGCCCCCAGGAAGCCUUUACCAACGCCAUCACCGACCUCAUCAGUGAGCUGUCCCUGCUGGAGGAGCGCUUCCGGACGUGCCUGCUUCCCCUUCGCCUUCUGCCGUGAUUGUCAGUUUCCUGAGGCCUCCCCAGCCACGCUUCCUGUACAGCCUGCAGAACUCUGCCCCAGAGCACAUCAGCUAUGUGCCCCAGCUCUCAAACGACACCUUGGCGGGGAGGCUCACCCUGUCCACCUUCACGCUGGAGCAGCCUCUAGGCCAGUUCAGCAGCCACAACAUCUCUGACUUGGAUACCAUCUGGCUGGUGGUGGCCCUCAGCAACGCCACCCAGAGCUUCACGGCCCCACGGACAAACCAGGACAUCCCUGCUCCUGCCAACUUCUCCCAGAGGGGCUACUAUCUCACACUGAGGGCCAACCGGGUGCUGUACCAGACCAGAGGCCAGCUCCAUGUCCUCCGCGUCGGCAAUGAUACCCACUGCCAACCAACAAAAAUUGGCUGCAACCAUCCCCUACCAGGACCCGGCCCCUACAGGGUGAAGUUCCUGGUGAUGAAUGACGAAGGACCCGUGGCUGAAACCAAGUGGUCCAGCGACACUCGCCUGCAGCAAGCCCAGGCACUUCGGGCUGUCCCCGGCCCCCAGAGCCCGGGCACCGUGGUCAUCAUCGCCAUCCUGUCUAUCCUCCUGGCCGUCCUCCUCACGGUCCUCCUGGCUGUGCUCAUAUACACCUGCUUCAACAGCUGCAGGAGCACUUCCCUAUCAGGCCCAGAGGAGGCAGGGAGUGUGAGAAGAUACACCACGCACCUCGCGUUCAGCACUCCUGCCGAGGGGGCUUCCUGAGGGGUUCCAGAGGGGCCCACGUGUCCCUCCACCUCCUCCCUGGCCCAGGCUGCAGAGCCUGAGCUGGGACACGCCCUGAAGCUUCUGGACCCUGAGAGAGAUUGUUUCUUUUCUUUACUAUUUUUUUUUUUUUUUUUUUGAGACGGAGUCUCACUCUGUCGCCAGGCUGGCGCGAUCUUGGCUCACUGCAACCUCUGCCUCACGGGUUCAAGCGAUUUUCCUGCUUCAGCCUCCUGAGUAGCUGGGACUACAGGCACACGCCACCAUGCCCAGCUCAUUUUUGUAUUUUUAGUAGAGAUGGGGUUUCACCAUGUUGGCCAGGAUGGCCUCCAUCUCUUGACCUUGUGAUCCGCCCGACUCGGCCUCCCAAAAUGCUGGGAUUACAGGCGUGAGCCAUCAAGUCUGGCGAGAGAGAUUGUUUCUAGAUGAGGGUGGGGGCGGGUGUCCUUAGCCCAAAGCUUGUGCCAGUCUCUAUCGGAAAUAAAUGCCCCCAAAACCUC